rnacentral:miRNA from 1 species
AUUGUGUACCACCUCUCUAAUAGAGGUGGGUCCCAUUAUUUGGUGGACUCUACCUCUAUUAGAGAGGUGAUACACAGUAGGCUUAUCGU